AGCCGCAUUUGCACUGAUCCUGCUUGU
rnacentral:sRNA from 1 species